rnacentral:rRNA from 1 species
AGCAGCCGCGGUAAUUCCAGCUCCAAUAGCGUAUAUUAAAGUUGUUGCAGUUAAAAAGCUCGUAGUUGAAUUUCGGGGUCAGUAGUUUGGUCGUGCCAAUGGUAUGUACUGGGCUCACUGAUUCCUCCUUCCUGAUGAACUGUAAUGCCAUUAAUUUGGUGUUGCAGGGAAACUGGACUGUUACUUUGAAAAAAUUAGAGUGUUUAAAGCAAGCUAACGCUUGAAUACAUUAGCAUGGAAUAAUGAAAUAGGACGUUCGAUCCUAUUUCGUUGGUUCCUAGGAUUGACGUAAUGAUUAAUAGGGAUAGUUGGGGGCAUUAGUAUUCAAUUGUCAGAGGUGAAAUUCUUGGAUUUAUUGAAGACUAACUACUGCGAAAGCAUUUGCCAAGGAUGUUUUCGUUAAUCAAGAACGAAAGUUAGGGGAUCGAAGACGAUCAGAUACCGUCGUAGUCUUAACCAUAAACUAUGCCGACUAGGGAUCGGAUGAUGUUAAUUUUUAAUGACUCAUUCGGCGCCUUAC